rnacentral:rRNA from 1 species
AGUGGCGGACGGGUGAGUAACGCGUGAGAAUCUGCCUUGGGGUCGGGGACAACCACUGGAAACGGUGGCUAAUACCGGAUAAGCCGAUUGGUGAAAGAUUUAUUGCCCGAAGAGGAGCUCGCGUCUGAUUAGCUAGUUGGUGAGGUAAGAGCUCACCAAGGCAGCGAUCAGUAGCUGGUCUGAGAGGACGAUCAGCCACACUGGGACUGAGACACGGCCCAGACUCCUACGGGAGGCUGCAGUGGGGAAUUUUCCGCAAUGGGCGAAAGCCUGACGGAGCAAGACCGCGUGAGGGAGGAAGGCUCUUGGGUUGUAAACCUCUUUUCUCAGGGAAGAAGCUCUGACGGUACCUGAGGAAUCAGCCUCGGCUAACUCCGUGCCAGCAGCCGCGGUAAUACGGAGGAGGCAAGCGUUAUCCGGAAUUAUUGGGCGUAAAGCGUCCGCAGGUGGCGAUUCAAGUCUGCUGUCAAAGCACGGGGCUUAACUCCGUAAAGGCAGUGGAAACUGAAUAGCUAGAGUGCCGUAGGGGUAGAGGGAAUUCCCGGUGUAGCGGUGAAAUGCGUAGAGAUCGGGAAGAACAUCGGUGGCGAAAGCGCUCUACUGGACGGCAACUGACACUCAGGGACGAAAGCUAGGGGAGCGAAUGGGAUUAGAUACCCC